CCUGCCGGCGACCGGCGCACGGGUGAGUAACACGUAUGCGACCUGCCCCCCGCAGGGGGAUAACCGGGAGAAAUCCCGACUAAUACCGCGUAACGCCGCGGACCUGCAUGGGUCUGCGGCCAAAGGAAGCGAUUCCGGCGGGGGAUGGGCAUGCGGCGCAUUAGCUAGUCGGCGGGGUAACGGCCCACCGAGGCGACGAUGCGUAGGGGUUCUGAGAGGAAGGUCCCCCACAUUGGAACUGAGACACGGUCCAAACUCCUACGGAAGGCAGCAG
rnacentral:rRNA from 1 species